rnacentral:rRNA from 1 species
CGGGUGAGUAACACGUGGAUAAUCUGCCCUGCACAGGGGGACAACAGCUAGAAAUGGCUGCUAAUACCGCAUAAGCCUACAGCCUCGCAUGAGGGAGUAGGAAAAGAAAUUCGGUGCAGGAUGAGUCCGCGUCUGAUUAGCUAGUUGGAGGGGUAAAAGCCCACCAAGGCAACGAUCAGUAGCCGGCCUGAGAGGGCGACCGGCCACAUUGGGACUGAGACACGGCCCAAACUCCUACGGGAGGCAGCAG